AGGGUUCGAUCCUGGCUCAGGACGAACGCUGGCGGUGCGCCUUAUGCAUGCAAGUCGAGCGAAGCUUUUCAGUAGUUUACUACAGAAAAUGACUGAGCGGCGAACGGGUGAGUAACGCGUGAGCAAUCUACCUUAGUUACAGGGAUAGCCCGAGGAAACUCGGAUUAAUACCUGAUAUUCUUUAUUUCUCGCAUGAGAAUAAAAGGAAAGGUCAGCCGAACUAAGAUGAGCUCGCGUUCUAUCAGCUAGUUGGUGAGGUAAAAGCUCACCAAGGCUACGACGGAUAGCUGGUCUGAGAGGACGAUCAGCCACACUGGGACAUAGAAACACCGGCCCCAGAUCUCCUCACCGGGAGGUCUGCAGCAGGGAAUAUGGCGCAAUGAGCGAAAGCUUGACGCAGCGACACCCGCGUGUGGGAUGACGGAUCUAGGUUUGUAAACCACUUUCAGGACGGAAGAAAAUGACGGUACCUCCACAAGAAGCCCCGGCCAACUACGUGCCAGCAGCCGCGGUAAUACGUAGGGGGCGAGGCGUUGUCCGGAUUUAUUGGGCGUAAAGAGCUCGUAGGCGGUUCAACAAGUCGGUCGUGAAAGUUCAGGGCUCAACCCUGAAAUGUCGAUCGAUACUGUUGUGAUUAGGAUACGGUAGAGGUGAGUGGAAUUCCGAGUGUAGCGGUGAAAUGCGUAGAUAUUCGGAGGAACGCCAAUAGCGAAGGCAGCUCACUGGGCCGCUAUCGACGCUGAGGAGCGAAAGCUAGGGGAGCAAACAGGAUUAGAUACCCUGGUAGUCCUAGCUGUAAACGAUGGAUACUAGACGUACGAACUGGAUUGACGGUUUCUGUGUCGCAGCUAACGCGUUAAGUAUCCCGCCUGGGGGAGUACGGUCGCAAGACUAAAACUCAAAGGAAUUGACGGGACCCCGCACAAGCGGCGGAGCAUGCGGCUUAAUUCGAUGAUACCCGUAGAACCUUACCUGGACUUGAAAAAAUAGGGUCUAGCUAUAGAAGAAAAUAGUGUGCAUUAGCGCCCUAUACAGGUGGUGCAUGGCCUGUCGUCAGCUCGUGUCGUGAGAUGUUGGGUUAAGUCCCGCAACGAGCGCAACCCCUGUCCUAUGUUGCCAGCAAUUAGUUGGGAACCUCAUAGGAGACUGCCGGUCAAUAAACCCGAAGAACGUGGGGACCAAACGUCAGAGUUCAUAUCAUGCCCCUCUAUGUCCAGGGCUGCACGCAUGCUACAAUGGCAAGUACAACGAGUCGCAAUACCGCGAGGUGGAGCAAAUCUCUUAAAGCUUGUCUCAGUUCGGAUAGGAGUCUGCAACUCGACUCCUUGAAGUUGGAGUCGCUAGUAAUCGCAAAUCAGCAAAGUUGCGGUGAAUACGUUCUCGGGGUUUGUACACACCGCCCGUCAAGUCACGGAAGUCGGCAAUACCCGAAGCCAGUGGUCCAACCCUUUUAGGGAGGAAGCUGUCGAAGGUAGGGUCGGUAACUGGGACUAAGUCGUAACAAGGUAGCC
rnacentral:rRNA from 1 species